AAUACAUCUACCAAAAUGCCAGAGAGUCUCAGCUCAAUUUUUCAUACAAGAGUUCUGAACUGAGGUUUUUAUGCUUUCAGUUUUAUUACUUAAAAAGUUUUGCUGGUUUAUGGCAUACAACCAAUACCAAUAAAAUGAACCAAACAUUCGAGCAGCUUUCUCCGUUAUUUCCAGGUAAAAAAUUACAUUCGUCGACUUUUUGGUCAUUCCCUCUGAGCCAACAGCUAAUCAGAAUGAGAGCUGCUCACGCACACACUCUCACGUACUUUCACUUCCAGUUUCGUUGUUCGCCGCCAUUCAUUCGCGCGUCUGAGAAUCAAGUAACAACUUUGACCCUAUCUUUAUCCUGUCAGUGCUUGAAGCUAUGAGAGCUGUGAUUAGCGACACCGUGAAACUGCGAUAGGCUAAGGACACCAAGGGACAUUUCUCUCCAAGGAAUCGGUAAUAAAGUGGCUACAUCAGUGCCGAUUAAGUAUGGAGAAUCUGGACGCUGACACCCUUCGUGAACAGUUGCUGGCAGAGG